rnacentral:rRNA from 1 species
GGUUGUGUGGUGUCGGCGGCCGGGGUAAUAGAGAGGUGGGAAGGGUUGUUCGGAUUUGUUGGGGGUAAAGGGGAGGUAGGCGGUCAAGCAAGUCUGUGGGGAAAUCCCGGGGCUCAACCCCGGAACUGCAACGGAAACUACUUGGCGGGAGCGAUGUAGGGGUGAGGGGAAUUCUCGGUGUAAGGGUGAAAUCUGUAGAUAUCGAGAGGAACACCAAUGGCGAAGGCACCUCACUGGACAUUUGCUGACGCUGAGCUGCGAAAGUAGGGGGAGCAAACAGGAUUAGAUACCCCUGUAGUC